UCGAGCGGUAGAGACUCUAACAGAUCUGAGCAUUAUAUUAACUACUCUCUCGCGUAUGAACAUUUGUAGCGGACUGAUCAUGUUACAAAUUGUACAUUCAGUGCGAAGCAAUAUCGUCUACCAAGAUAAUUUUGAAAUAUGGAGACAUAAAGACUGUCCUGUCGUUUGCAUGAGGAAGCAAUGUAUACGCUGUGAAAGACUAAACAAGUCGUUACAAAAAAGGAACCGAAGACUCAUACAGAAUAAUACUAGGCCGAGACGGUUAGAACAGGGAGCAAGUAAUGAACACGUGGAAGAAAAUAUUAUCGCUGUUCGUAAAAUAGUUCGAAGGGAGAGGGCUGCGCAUCGUCGAACAAAGGAAAGAAUUCAAAAACUGCAAACAACAACCUCUGAAAUACAAAAGAAACUUCGCAAGUUGAGCGAGAAAUCCAUCAGAGACUAAAUUACCAAAUUUAAUUUUUAACCAGCACAGAAAUUAGCCAUUGAAGCAAUGAUCGCUGCGGCAGAGAAAAAAGGCGCUAAACGAAACAGAUAUACUGAAAAUUGGAUAAUGAUGUUUAUGAUGAUGCACAUACGUUCACCUACUCAUUACCGAUUUCUACUAAAAAAUGACGUUCUACCAUUGCCAUCGCCACGAUCUAUUCGGCGCUACAUGUCAAUAAUCGACGCUAAAUAUGGUUUCAACAAAAAUUUUUUUGAGUUAUUUGAACGACAAAUGAACACCAAGAAGGCUAUACAGAGAAAUGGAAUUAUACUGAUCGACGAAAUUUCACUGCGAGAAUCCAUUGCUGUAUGUUCGACCAAUUUAACGUUCAAAGGAUUAACAGAUUUUGGGGAGGAUGGCACGAAAGCCGAAAACGUGAAUGAAUUGGCAAAUCACGGACUCGUGUUCAUGUUUUAGUCAUUGGCGGAUACAUAUGAGCAACCAAUACAUACGAAAGGACCAGUCAAAAGAACGGAACUAGCAAAACUUCUUCUUAAAGCUAUAGUCAGCUAGGAAGAUGCUGGAGCCUACAUUCACGCAGUUAUUUCCGAUGGUGCUUUGACAGAUUUGGAUGUAACAGCAAAAAAAGAUAAUUGUAAACCUUGGUUUAUUCAUCCGUGCGGCGAAUUAUGAAAAAUGUUCGUUUUUUCCGACACUCCAAACCUGAUAAAAAACAUACGCAACAGGCUGCACAAUAAUAAAAAGCUCAAGAAUUAUGCUUGAAGAUAAAAGGUAAUGGAAUAAGUCCAAUAAAAUGGGAACAUUUUACUUCCUUAUUCGAAGAAGACACGAAGCUUCCAACGAAGUUAAGAGUGUGUCCAAAAAUAACACGAAAUCACCUGAUUCUCAACACAUCUACAAAGAUGCGAGUACGAUUAGCAACUCAAGCUUUUAGCGAAUCCAUGGUUAAUGGCUUGACUUUUUAUAGAAAGCGUGGCACACCUGGUCUCGAGGAUUGUGAAGAAACCAUCAAAUUUUGCCAGCGCAUAAAUGUGUAACGUAUGAGUACGCUAGCUGAUGUGUGUUUCUUCUGUGUGUGUAUGAGUGUAGAUGCGCCCCCACUCCGCAUAUACCUAUUAUGUAUCGCUCGAUCCCCACCUAAUAGAAUCUAAAUAAUACCGGUCAAACGAAUUGUCGUUCCUUUCACCAACUAACCAGCGAACAAGUAGCAAGUGUCUUCGAAAAUAUAAUAGAUAAUACGCUCUGGGUGAUAGGGCCAUAAAAUAAAUCCACAUCUAUAUUAUAAAAUUCAGCUAGACAAUUGAGGAAAAUAUGAUCGGACACGGCGACAAUUUGGCUAGAUAAAACACCGGUGGACCACAUCAAUAAACUACCUACAUCAAUAAACACUCACCUACAUCGAUAUCAACGAUUCAAUAACUAAUAGGUGCUGAAAUCUUCUUUACUUUGGCUAAACGAAUGGAAGUCCAACAGGGUCGAAGGCUCAGUAACCAAGAAUGAAUUCCUAAGCGAUAGCACUGCGGAAGGGCUUCGUGUUACUUUGCAGGCGACUAUUGAAAUGUGCACUUACAUGCGAGAAAAAUUUCAAUUCGAAUACCUUUUAACCGAAAAAAUUAAUCAAGAUACAUUGGAGGUAUAAUCAUUGCAACCUUGAUGCUUUGUUCCAAUAACAUUUCCUAUUUACUUUUUACAUUUCCUGUUUACUUCAGCAAUUAUUUGGCACUAUUCAGCAAGCAGCUGGUUCAAAUGACCACCCUGCUACGCCGAUAUUUCUUCAAUUAUACAAACUGCUCUCCAGUUAAAGUAUCUUGAAACCUCCAGAGUUCGGAAAUUGCACAGUUACUGAGCCAAAAACUCCAAAUUUUAUAGUCACUGUUUCUGAUUUGAAAAAUAUCUACAAGUCGGAGAAAAUGAAUAAAGUCACGGAAAUUAAAGCCAAACUUGAUUCGUUAAUCAAACAAGAAGAAUGGGAAGAAGUCCCAAUUACUGAUCACGAUUACGCCCUUGUAUCAGUUGUCGAUUGUCUUGAAUACUCGAAAAAAAAAAGUGUUGCAAAGAGAAAACUAGUUAAAUUGUAUAAACUGUGACAGAAUUGAAAUUUCUUAAGAUAGCCUCAACGCCAGACGAGACACCUGUUAGAAUUUAUGGAUUACAGGCUGUCCUAAGGCGCGUGCGAGGAUCAUUACUUCCGAAGAUCCCCGUCACGUGGCGCAAGUAGAAAAGCGUGUGAUGAGAUUCGCAGUCGUGUCGCGCUAAUAGGAAGGCGUAAAAAGAAACUCUCUCGUAGAAGGGCUCAUAGGAAAGAGCUGGAGAGAGACAAAAGGAAACUCGUGGGAUUAAUCGAUCUAGAUAUACAAAAGCGACAUAGACAUAUUGUACCAGAGGAUAACCGUUGACCAAUUCACUAUGCAAGGACUAUAUACUAAUUAAAUUGGAAUAAGGAAAAUAAACUGUAAGUAAAUUUAUAAUUGAUCAAAUGCUAUUAUUCUUGCAAUUUCCUCGGGUCACCCAAUUCGAACCUCUUCUCUAAUUGACUAGCCGUUGCACAUUGAACAUUUUGUGGUAGGAUUUAUUGGUUUGCCCAUAAACCAAUUUGCGCUCAACCUAAAAAGGAGCCCAAUUUUAGAGCCCUAGCAGCCCCUGACCCAGGCCGCGCUAGGUGAAGGCUGAAUAAACGUGGUAAUUUAGAAAAGAAGAAGGAAGCCUGCCUCAUUUAGCGCCCAACGUGGGGCACGAUUGGGGAUUUUCAUAAGUAAAAUCAGAAAUAGCAAUUUGAAAAUUUAAUUGAGAAAAUUACUGAAUAAUUUUGUUCAAAGUUCAUCGACUAUUCCGUCUUUGUAAAUGCUGUGUGCUUGGUCAAUGUCAUGUGUCGUGUCAGUGUAGCGCCCGAACGUGGCAAAAGUAAACAUUAGUUCUAAGAAUCUAAAGUCAACAGAAGAUAAAGUCGAGUAAUAGAAUCUAUGCGAGUCUUUGAAAUAAAAUGAAAAUAAGUCGAAAUUUGUAAGAAUAUCGUAUGAGUCACGUUAUUUAUUUUGUACUAGUCAUUUAUGUAGAAUGAAGUUAAUGAUUAUUUAUUGAAAUUAUUUAUUGAAAUUAUCGGAAUAGUUAUUGAAAUUAUUAUUGAAAUUGUUUCUUAAAAUUAUUUAUCGAAAUUGUCUGAAGGAAUGGUUGCUGAAUGUAAAUUAUUGAAAGUAGCUGAGGAAAUUUCGACGGUAACAAUUAUAUUGAAAUGUGUAAGCUAUCCGCCCGACAAAGGUCCCUGUCGAACGGUAGAAAUUCACGUUGAAAAGAGGCUAUGAAUGCCAAUAUAAACUGUCGAUAAAGGUCUUGCCCCUGUCGUACAGUAAUGUAGAGAUUUGAAAAGAAGAAAUCCGUUUGAUAAAGGUCUUGCCCCUGUCGUACGGAUCAAAUAAGGAAUAUUAUAUAGGGUUGCGAUGUUUGAAAUUAAUCAUUUGACAAAGGUAUAGCCCUGUGGUGUUGAGCUUUGACGAGUGAUAGGAUAACGGAAGCCCUUAUGUCAAGAGCUCAAAUCUUGAGAACACCUAGAGUAUAUAGGUCUUGCCCUGAUACCUAGAGGAAUUGUUGAAUUAUUAUUUUGAGAUUUAUCAAGCAAUAGGGUAAUGAAGCCAUACGUUGCGGAGUCCAAAAUAUAAGUAGAUCACUAAAACAUAUAGGUCUUGUCCUAAUGCCCAGUGAGAAUUACUAGUGUGUUUAGAUCUUGCUCUGACACCUAAUGAAAUUGCUGUCGAAGCAGUUAAGCUAGAGUAUUUGGAUCUUGUUCUGAUACCCAGUGAAAUUAAGGGAACCGUUGGAGAACGCGGAAGUUGAUUUAGUCUCCAAUAGGUAAAAUUAGUAAUCAAUACAGGCCGUGUCCUGUUUGUUGAAAUUUAAGAAACGGUAAUCAAAUUACUCAUAGCAUCUGACUAGGUAGUAUCUCGUUCCGAAGUUUAGUUCAGAAUCGCUCUUAAUCAGGGUAAGGUGUUUGAGUGUACCCUCAUCCACUUAUUGAAUUUUAAUAAUGUUGUAAACCAUAAUAUAGAUUUGGAAACGCGCCUACGUCAGAAGCGACGGA